rfam:Asian citrus Psyllid, Diaphorina citri - Florida Strain, whole genome shotgun sequence.
GGCGUAGUGGUCACUGCGCUCGCCUUGCACGCGGGAGACCCGGGUUCGAUUCCCGG